rnacentral:rRNA from 1 species
GAUGAACGCUGGCGGCGCGCCUAAUACAUGCAAGUCGAGCGAACAGACGAGGAGCUUGCUCCUCUGACGUUAGCGGCGGACGGGUGAGUAACACGUGGAUAACCUACCUAUAAGACUGGGAUAACUUCGGGAAACCGGAGCUAAUACCGGAUAAUAUAUUGAACCGCAUGGUUCAAUAGUGAAAGACGGUUUUGCUGUCACUUAUAGAUGGAUCCGCGCCGCAUUAGCUAGUUGGUAAGGUAACGGCUUACCAAGGCAACGAUGCGUAGCCGACCUGGGAGGGUGAUGGGCCACACUGGAACUGAGACACGGUCCAGACUCCUACGGGAGGCAGCAGUAGGGAAUCUUCCGCAAUGGGCGAAAGCCUGACGGAGCAACGCCGCGUGAGUGAUGAAGGUCUUCGGAUCGUAAAACUCUGUUAUUAGGGAAGAACAAAUGUGUAAGUAACUAUGCACGUCUUGACGGUACCUAAUCAGAAAGCCACGGCUAACUACGUG